GGGAGAGGACCCCCAGAUCCUGUCUGUGCUGUUCCCUUCCUGCCCCCAGAACUGUCCUCAUAGCCCUCACCAUGCAGUCUGCUGUCAGUCUGCUUUCUAUCCUGGCACUGCUCCAAGGUGUGCAGGGUGAUGUCCAGCUGGUGGAGUCCGGGGGAGACUUGAGACAGCCUGGCGGGUCUCUGAGCCUCUCCUGUAAAGCCUCUGGAUUAACCAGCAGCUACUACAAUAUGCACUGGGUCCGCCAGGCUCCAGGGAAGGGGCUCGAGUGGGUCGCUAGAGUUUAUAGUAAUGGUGGUAGCACUAACUAUGCGGACUCUGUGAAAGGCCGAUUCACCAUCUCCUGGGACAAGGCCAGCAGCCUCCUGAGUUUGCAAAUGAACAGCCUGAAAACCGAGGACACGGCCCUCUAUUACUGUGCUACAGACACAGUGAGAGAAACCACAUUCUCUGCCUGUCAGAAACCCUGGGAGGAUUUCUGGGCUGCAGCUGGCUGGGGAAGCAGAGCAGCAGAGACCACAGAAAACAGCCCUGGCCUCUACGACUAAUCAUUAAUUCUAUUA